rnacentral:pre_miRNA from 11 species
CACUAAGAAAAUGCCCCACAGACUUGUCUAUGAAAGACCCCCAGAGUGGGGAGACCCUCACUCAAGUCUCGGGAUAAGCUGACGCCCCAAUAAUUCAAGAGAGACU